rnacentral:rRNA from 1 species
UGGGGAAUUUUGGACAAUGGGGGAAACCCUGAUCCAGCAAUGCCGCGUGAAUGAAGAAGGCCUUCGGGUUGUAAAGUUCUUUUGUUAGGGACGAUUAUGACGGUACCUAACGAAUAAGCUCCGGCUAACUUCGUGCCAGCAGCCGCGGUAAUACGAAGGGGGCUAGCGUUGUUCAGAAUUACUGGGCGUAAAGGGCGCGUAGGCGGUCUUUCAAGUCAGAUGUGAAAGCCCUGGGCUUAACCUAGGAUGUGCAUUUGAGACUGAAAAACUUGAGAUCGAAAGAGGAGAGUGGAAUUGCGAGUGUAGAGGUGAAAUUCGUAGAUAUUCGCAAGAACACCGGUGGCAAAGGCGACUCUCUGGUUCGAUACUGACGCUAAGGCGCGAAAGCGUGGGGAGCAAACAGG